rnacentral:rRNA from 1 species
UACGUAGGGGGCAAGCGUUGUCCGGAAUCAUUGGGCGUAAAGCGCGUGUAGGCGGUUCGGUAAGUCGGCUGUGAAAGUCCAGGGCUCAACCCUGGGAUGCCGGUCGAUACUGCCGGACUAGAGUUCGGAAGAGGCGAGUGGAAUUCCCGGUGUAGCGGUGAAAUGCGCAGAUAUCAGGAGGAACACCGGUGGCGAAGGCGGCAUCCUGGACCGACACUGACGCUGAGGAGCGAAAGCCAGGGGAGCAAACGGG